rnacentral:rRNA from 1 species
ACAGGGAUUGCCCCAGUAACGGCGAGUGAAGCGGCAACAGCUCAGAUUUGAAAUCUGGCCCUUGUGGGGUCCGAAUUGUAAUCUGUAGAGGAUGCUUUUGGCGACGCGCCUUCCGAGUCCCCUGGAACGGGGCGCCAGAGAGGGUGAGAGCCCCGUAUGGUUGGACGCCGAACCUCUGUAAAGCUCCUUCGACGAGUCGAGUAGUUUGGGAAUGCUGCUCAAAAUGGGAGGUAAAUUUCUUCUAAAGCUAAAUACCGGCCAGAGACCGAUAGCGCACAAGUAGAGUGAUCGAAAGAUGAAAAGCACUUUGAAAAGAGGGUCAAAUAGCACGUGAAAUUGCUGAAAGGGAAGCGCUUGUGACCAGACUUGCGCCCGGUUGAUCAUCCAGCGCUCUCGCUGGUGCACUCUGCCGGGCCCAGGCCAGCAUCGGCUCUCCCAGGGGGAUAAAGGUCGCGGGAACGUAGCUCUCUCCGGGGAGUGUUAUAGCCCGUGGCGGAAUGCCCUUAGGGGGGGCCGAGGCCCGCGUUCGCAAGGAUGCUGGCGUAAUGGUCACCAGCGACCCGUCUUGAAACACGGACCAAGGAGUCAAGCAUUAGGGCGAGUCUUUGGGUGCAAAACCCGCAGGCGCAAUGAAAGUGAACGGAGGUGAGAGCUUCGGCGCAUCAUCGACCGAUCCUGAUGUUCUCGGAUGGAUUUGAGUAAGAGCCUUACCGCUUGGACCCGAAAGAUGGUGAACUAUGCCUGAAUAGGGUGAAGCCAGAGGAAACUCUGGUGGAGGCUCGCAGCGGUUCUGACGUGCAAAUCGAUCGUCAAAUUUGGGCAUGGGGGCGAAAGACUAAUCGA